UACGUAGGGACCAAGCGUUGUUCGGAUUUACUGGGCGUAAAGGGCGCGUAGGCGGCUUAACAAGUCACUUGUGAAAUCUCCGGGCUUAACUCGGAACGGCCAAGUGAAACUGUCAAGCUAGAGUGCAGAAGGGGCAAUCGGAAUUCUUGGUGUAGCGGUGAAAUGCGUAGAUAUCGGGAGGAACACCUGUGGCGAAAGCGGCGCACUGGACCACAACUGACGCUGAGGCGCGAAAGCUAGGGGAGCAAACAGG
rnacentral:rRNA from 1 species